rnacentral:rRNA from 1 species
UACGGGGGAUCCAAGCGUUAUCCGGAAUCAUUGGGUUUAAAGGGUCCGUAGGCGGUUUAGUAAGUCAGUGGUGAAAGCCCAUCGCUCAACGGUGGAACGGCCAUUGAUACUGCUGAACUUGAAUUAUUAGGAAGUAACUAGAAUAUGUAGUGUAGCGGUGAAAUGCUUAGAUAUUACAUGGAAUACCAAUUGCGAAGGCAGGUUACUACUAAUGGAUUGACGCUGAUGGACGAAAGCGUGGGGAGCGAACAGG